GACGAACGCUGGCGGCGUGCUUAACACAUGCAAGUCGAACGGAAAGGCCUGCUUUCCUUUGUGGAUUGCGGGUACUCGAGUGGCGAACGGGUGAGUAACACGUGAGUGAUCUGCCCCCAACUUGGGUAUAAGCCUGGGAAACUGUGUCUAAUUCCCGAUAGGACUGCAGGGUGGUGCCUGUGGUGGAAAACGAUUUUCUAGUGGUUGGGGAUGAGCUCGAGGCCUAUCAGCUUGUUGGUGGGGUAAUGGACUACCAAGGCGGCGACGGGUAGCCGGCCUGAGAGGGUGGACAGUGACAUUGAGACAGGGACCAGACCCCGACGCGUGCGGGAGGCGGCGGUGGGGGGAAUAUGAGAGUAGGCGGGAGCCUGAUGCAGCGACGGCGCGUGGAAGGUGAUGGCCUUCGGGUGGUAAACUGCUUGGGACCAAGAGGAAGCGGCCAGGUUGGAAGGGUGGUGACGGUAGUGGUAGAAGAAGCACCGGCUAACUACGUG
rnacentral:rRNA from 1 species